rnacentral:piRNA from 1 species
UGGAACUUCACAAGCAACAGGCAGGCACC